rnacentral:lncRNA from 1 species
UUUUUGUCAUUUGCGUGGGAAAACAUGAUGCAUUAAUUGGGAGGGAAAAUACAAAUCAACCGAGUAGGGGAAAUAAAUGGAAAGAAAUAAAAAAGGACAAAAGUAAAGUUGAAAAAAGAAAAGGUCUACAAGUAGUGAAGCAGACAUCAUUAAAGAAAAGGAUAAAAAGGCAUAUAUGGACAGAUGGAAGAUGAUUUUGAUUUUGAAUGUGAUUAGGAAUGGUUAUCCCACUCGGUCCCAAUUAGCUUCACUUCCCCUGCGAGGAAUGCUGUUCACCCUU